rnacentral:rRNA from 1 species
UACGUAGGGGGCGAGCGUUGUCCGGAUUUAUUGGGCGUAAAGAGCGUGUAGGCGGCCAGGUAGGUCUGCUGUGAAAACUCGAGGCUCAACCUCGAGACGUCGGCGGAAACCAUCUGGCUAGAGUCCGGAAGAGGAGAGUGGAGUUCCUGGUGUAGCGGUGAAAUGCGUAGAUAUCGAGAGGAACACCUGCGGCGAAGGCGGGUUGCUGGGCUGACACUGACGCUGAUGCGCGAAAGCCAGGGGAGCGAACGGG